rnacentral:rRNA from 1 species
AUUGAACGCUGGCGGCAUGCCUUACACAUGCAAGUCGAACGGUAACGGGCCUUCGGGUGCCGACGAGUGGCGAACGGGUGAGUAAUGCAUCGGAACGUACCAUUGAGUGGGGGAUAACGUAGCGACAGUUACGCUAAUACCGCAUAUUCUGUGAGCAGGAAAGCAGGGGAUCGCAAGACCUUGCGCUCUUUGAGCGGCCGAUGUCGGAUUAGCUAGUUGGUGGGGUAAAGGCCCACCAAGGCUACGAUCCGUAGCGGGUCUGAGAGGAUGAUCCGCCACACUGGACUGAGACACGGCCCAGACUCCUACGGGAGGCAGCAGUGGGGAGUUUUGGACAAUGGGGGCAACCCUGAUCCAGCCAUGCCGCGUGAGUGAAGAAGGCCUUCGGGUUGUAAAGCUCUUUCGGCCGGGAAGAAAUCGUGUGGGCUAAUACCCUGCAUGGAUGACGGUACCGGAAUAAGAAGCACCGGCUAACUACGUGCCAGCAGCCGCAGUAA